rnacentral:rRNA from 1 species
AGCACCUCAAGUGGUCAGGAUGAUUAUUGGGCCUAAAGCAUCCGUAGCUCGUUUUGUAAGUUUUCGGUUAAAUCCAUUCGCUUAACGUAUGGGCUGCCGGGAAUACUGCAUAACUAGGAAGUGGGAGAGGUAGACGGUACUCGGUAGGAAGGGGUAAAAUCCUUUGAUCUAUUGAUGACCACCUGUGGCGAAGGCGGUCUACCAGAACACGUUCGACAGUGAGGGAUGAAAGCUGGGGGAGCAAACC